rnacentral:rRNA from 1 species
UACGUAGGUGGCGAGCGUUGUCCGGAUUUACUGGGUGUAAAGGGCGCGUAGGCGGGCUUGCAAGUCAGAUGUGAAAUACCGGGGCUUAACCCCGGGGCUGCAUUUGAAACUGUGAGUCUUGAGUGUCGGAGAGGAAAGCGGAAUUCCUAGUGUAGCGGUGAAAUGCGUAGAUAUUAGGAGGAACACCAGUGGCGAAGGCGGCUUUCUGGACGAUAACUGACGCUGAGGCGCGAAAGUGUGGGGAGCAAACAGGAUUAGAUACCCUGGUAGUCCACACCGUAAACGAUGGAUACUAGGUGUAGGAGGUAUCGACCCCUUCUGUGCCGCAGUUAACACAAUAAGUAUCCCACCUGGGGAGUACGAUCGCAAGAUUGAA